GAUGAACGCUGGCGGCGUGCCUAAUACAUGCAAGUCGAGCGAACGGACGAGAAGCUUGCUUCUCUGAUGUUAGCGGCGGACGGGUGAGUAACACGUGGAUAACCUACCUAUAAGACUGGGAUAACUUCGGGAAACCGGAGCUAAUACCGGAUAAUAUUUUGAACCGCAUGGUUCAAAAGUGAAAGACGGUCUUUCUGUCACUUAUAGAUGGAUCCGCGCUGCAUUAGUUAGUUGGUAAGGUAACGGCUUACCAAGGCAACGAUGCAUAGCCGACCUGAGAGGGUGAUUGGACACACUGGAACUGAGACACGGUCCAGACUCCUACGGGAGGAAGCAGUAGGGAAUCUUCCGCAAUGGGCGAAAGCCUGACGGAGCAACGCCGCGUGAGUGAUGAAGGUCUUCGGAUCGUAAAACUCUGUUAUUAGGGAAGAACAUAUGUGUAAGUAACUGUGCACAUCUUGACGGUACCUAAUCAGAAAGCCACGGCUAACUACGUG
rnacentral:rRNA from 1 species